CAGGAAAAACUCCAGAUUCCGGUAACUCUUUGGUGAAGUCCACUCUCUAUUUCUUCCUUUUUCCAACACUCUGAGAAUCACACUCUCUCAAAACCUCUGUUUUUUUUUUCUUUCAACCAACCAUUCUUUGUUUUUUUUUUUUUUCUCAAGUCUCUCUUCUUUCAGAUUUUUUUCUUCCAAACGUCCUUCCUCUUUUCUUUUUUUGUGUCUCCAGACUCUUAUCAGACUUCUCAUACCUCUUCAUUUCCUUUCUUUUCCUUUAAGAUUGCCUAUCCAGCUCCAUUUUUCAUAGUCUUCUAGGAAAACACCAGCCUUCUCUUUUUCUUUCAAAGCUU
rnacentral:lncRNA from 1 species